CCCCUGCCUCUCUCUCUGGUUUCAAGUCCCGAUCCUCUCUCUCUCUGGUUUCGCUCACAGGUUUUGGGAACUGAAACCCUGUCUUGCAUUUGGAUUAGUUUUGUUGAUGAUCUUUCUUUGCCGUUUCUUUCUAAACCCUUGGUGGAUUCUUAGCUAAUUCAAGUAAGGAGUGCUUGUCUCAUCUCAAAGGUACAAAUUUUUCAUUUUAUUGAGAAUUC